UGGACUCUGAAUCCAGCGAUCCGA
rnacentral:piRNA from 5 species